rnacentral:rRNA from 1 species
UACGGGGGGGGCAAGCGUUGUUCGGAAUUACUGGGCGUAAAGGGCUCGUAGGCGGCCAACUAAGUCAGACGUGAAAUCCCCAGGCUCAACCUGGGAACUGCGUCUGAUACUGGAUGGCUUGAAUUCGGGAGAGGGAUGCAGAAUUCCAGGUGUAGCGGUGAAAUGCGUAGAUAUCUGGAGGAAUACCGGUGGCGAAGGCGGGUCUCUGGGCAAUUCCUGACGCUGAGGCGCGAAAGCGUGGGGAGCAAACGGG